rnacentral:rRNA from 1 species
CCUACGGGGGGCAGCAGUGGGGGAUAUUGCACAAUGGGGGAAACCCUGAUGCAGCGACGCCGCGUGAGUGAAGAAGUAUUUCGGUAUGUAAAGCUCUUUUAGCAGGGAAGAAAAUGACAGUACCUGACCACGAAUCACCGGCUAACUACGUGCCAGCAGCCGCGGUAAUACGCAGGGGGCAAGCGUUAUCCGGAUUUACUGGGGGUAAAGGGAGCGUAGUCGGUUUGGUAAGUCUGGAGUGAAAGCCCGGGGCCCAACGCCGGGACUGCUUUGGAAACUGUGUAACUGGAGUGCAGGAGGGGCAGGCGGAAUGCCUGGUGUAGCGGUGAAAUGCGUAGAGAUCAGGAGGAACACCGGCGGCGAAGGCGGCCUGCUGGACUGAAACUGACGUUGAGGCUCGAAAGCGUGGGGAGCAAACAGGAUUAGAUACCCGAGGAGUC